rnacentral:rRNA from 1 species
UACGUAGGGUGCAAGCGUUAAUCGGAAUUACUGGGCGUAAAGCGCGCGUAGGCGGCUUUGCAAGUCGGGUGUGAAAUCCCCGGGCUUAACCUGGGAACUGCAUUUGUGACUGCAUCGCUGGAGUGCGGCAGAGGGGGAUGGAAUUCCGCGUGUAGCAGUGAAAUGCGUAGAUAUGCGGAGGAACACCGAUGGCGAAGGCAAUCCCCUGGGCCUGCACUGACGCUCAUGCACGAAAGCGUGGGGAGCAAACAGG